AUGCCACAUCGCCUAAUGAUCUGCAUCAUACAUUUGAUAGAGGCUUCGUUCAAGAAUCAAUUAAGCAGAACAGCCAAAGAUUCCGGACACACACUAAGGGAGGAUUAGUUAUGAAUCCGCUGGCUGACGUUGAGAAUGAUCUUAGAGAGAACUUGGGACAGUAUCCAAAAAGAUUACUGAAGACUGUAAUCCAAGAGGAUGACAGUGUGCCUAUUUACAAAUAGCUGCAAACCUCGUCUGCAGAUUCUGAACUAAAAUUACCCGUUUCUGAAGGCUUUCCUCAAUCAGGGUGGUCCUGGAAAGGCGAAAGCGAUGAAUGACAGAGUUAUUAUGGACGGAUCUUGCGAAGUAUGACUUCUCAGACAUGGCAUUAACCUCAAGGUUGAAAGAAGGUCUUUUGGGGCUAUUUAUGAGCAUACAUGCAUGCUUCACGAAGGUCCUUUUCGAUUACAAUGGGUGAUUGCCAGAGCCUGUCUUCUUUGCCACGUGAAACUGACAGAAACAGUAAGAUCCUUCUUACUAUUUACUCCGUCUUUUGUUUUUAAUCUGAGGCUGCUUCUUGUCACUUCUCUGUCUCACUCCUGGAAAAAAGAGCUAAUGGUUUUGUUUGUAUUAACAUAAAAUCAAGCAUACCUCUGUUUUAGGUUGUUGAAUUACUAGCCCAAGCCAAAGAAUUAUGAGUCAAAAAUACCAAAAGGGGAAGAAUUUGGACAGCCUAGAACCAAAAGUAGGCCAGACCAUCUACCACCCACACCCAUAUAAUUAAUGGCCGGCCAUGCACCAUUGCUGAAAAGUUUGACAUUAUAAUCCCUUUUCACAUUAUCAAAUGGAGGAUGCCUAGAACCAAUAUAUGACUAUUUUUCUUUUUGUAAUUUAUGCUAAUAUUUAUUUCAUGUGUGAACAAGUAUAUGUGUUGAACGAUUUGAAUAAGUGAGGAAAAAAAAAGCUGUGUAUUACAUGUUUCUUCCAAAUUCUUGUGAACAGUCAAUGUUAUUCAUUUGAGUCUUGUGAUUGUGUAUAAUUUUAAUUAUCUUUGUGAA